rnacentral:tRNA from 1 species
GCCCGAGUGAUGGAAUGGCAGACAUGCCGGACUCAAAAUCCGGUGGGAAUAUUCCCGUGUGGGUUCGAAUCCCACCUCGGGCACCA